rnacentral:rRNA from 1 species
UACGUAGGUGGCAAGCGUUGUUCGGAAUUACUGGGCGUAAAGGGCUCGUAGGCGGCCAACUAAGUCAUACGUGAAAUCCCUCGGCUUAACCGGGGAACUGCGUCUGAUACUGGAUGGCUUGAGAUUGGGAGAGGGCUGCGGAAUUCCAGGUGUAGCGGUGAAAUGCGUAGAUAUCUGGAGGAACACCGGUGGCGAAGGCGGCAUCCUGGACCAACACUGACGCUGAGGAGCGAAAGCCAGGGGAGCAAACGGG